AGCAGCCGCGGUAAUUCCAGCUCCAAUAGCGUAUAUUAAAGUUGUUGCAGUUAAAAAGCUCGUAGUUGAAUUUCGGGAUUGGCGCAUCGGUCGUGCCUCACGGGGUAUGAACUGGUGCAGUCAAUUUCUCACCUUCUGGAGAACCGCGAUGUCCUUAAUUGGAUGCCGCGGGGAACCAGGACCUUUACUUUGAAAAAAAUUAGAGUGUUUAAAGCAGGCAUUUUUGCUUGAAUACAUUAGCAUGGAAUAAUAAAAUAGGACGGCAUGGUUCUAUUUUGUUGGUUUCUAGGACCACCGUAAUGAUUAAUAGGGAUAGUUAGGGGCAUUAGUAUUCAAUUGUCAGAGGUGAAAUUCUUGGAUUUAUUGAAGACUAACUACUGCGAAAGCAUUUGCCAAGGAUGUUUUCAUUAAUCAAAACGAAGUUAGGGGAUCGAAGACGAUCAGAUACCGUCGUAGUCUUAACCAUAAACUAUGCCGACUAGGAAUCAGACGAUGUUAAUUUUUUAAUGUACUCGUUUGG
rnacentral:rRNA from 1 species